AUGCCCACUCUCACUUCAGCAGCAUAUCCACUAAAAUUAGAAUACAACAGAAACUAACAUGGCCCCUGCACAAGGAUGAAUUGAGAAUUUAUUCUACGUUAAAAAUUCAU
rnacentral:snRNA from 1 species